UACGUAGGGUGCAAGCGUUGUCCGGAAUUACUGGGCGUAAAGGGCGCGUAGGCGGCCUGUUAAGUCGAACGUGAAAUCCCCGGGCUCAACCCGGGAACUGCGUCCGAUACUGGCAGGCUUGAAUCCGGGAGAGGGAUGUGGAAUUCCAGGUGUAGCGGUGAAAUGCGUAGAUAUCUGGAGGAACACCGGUGGCGAAGGCGGCAUCCUGGACCGGUAUUGACGCUGAGGCGCGAAAGCCAGGGGAGCAAACGGG
rnacentral:rRNA from 1 species